rnacentral:pre_miRNA from 12 species
CCACCAGAACUGCCCCAUGGCUCCAGAAAUCAAGGGUGGGUAAGACCUCGUAGGACAACUGGCAGGCGACCCAUACUUGGUUUCAGGGGCUGUGUGUGGCUGUCGUCAGCGUUGG